GAGGAGGCAGCAUGUCAUGACGGAGCACCUGAGUUGAGAAGCCAGGCACAAAUCUCCAUUACAAGUUUCAAGAUCUUUGGCAAGUUAUAUAACCUCUCUGAGACUUAGUUUUCCUUAUUUAUAAAAUGGUCAUGAGAUUAUGCUUCACAGAAAUAUUUUGAAUAUAAACAAGUUCACUUUUUUUAUUUUUAUUUUUUAUUUUUAUCUUAAGACAGGGUCUUGCUAAGUUGCCCAGACUGGCCUCCAUCUUGUAAUUCUCUUGCCUCAGCCUCCUGAGUGACUGGAAUUACAGGCAUAUGCCACUGUGCCUGGCAGGAGUUCACUUUUAUAAAGAGCUCCAGGCAUGGUGCCAGACACAUGGCACCAUUCAAUAAAGGUCACCUAUUAUUAUUAGGUAUUAUUAAUAGAAAGUGCAGACUUUGGUGUCAAACACACUUGGGUUUAAAUUUCAGUUUUGUGGCCGAAUGACCUUGGGCAAGUUACUUAUUUGAGUUUCAAUUUUUCCAUGAAGAGAAGAACACUAUGUGUGAAGCCCUUGCUAGUUGUUAACUUUUCUGUAGGAGGCAUGAAAGGAUCUUCCUGGAGGUGGCUUUUGAAGCUUCCCCUGGGAUGGGGCUGUGAGGUUCCAGGCAGUGUUCUGAAAUCCAGAAAUGUUCCCUCUGUCUGGGGUGAACAGUGCGCACAGCCUGAAGCGGACGUGUCCUCUUGACCAAGGGCUGGUGCUAAUGCUUCACCUGCUGCCCCCUGAUACUUUGCCCCCUACCACCUUCUCAUCAACACCAACCAGCCAUCAGUCUGCACUGUCAUUAAUAAAACUCAAAUCCCCAAAGUGACACGUAGAGUCUGGGCUGCAGCGGGGCUGGCUGCCCAGCGGGCAUUCCUUUGCGCAAGGAGAGGAAGCUCAGACGCCUGCCCGUGCCUUUGUGUGCCUUUGCAUCUGAGCUGGAAACGCCUGCGGAAACGUUGGCAGCGGCUCCAUGGAAAGGAGCUGCAGUCUGUUUCCAUGGGCGAGGUGAGUCGGCCCCUUCGCUGGCUUUUCCUUGACGUGCAGAGGUGUGGUAGAGCAGGUGUUGCCUGGGAUGACAUUGGUGGUGGCGCCUUUCCACAUCCAUCUCAGUCUCACCCAGCAAUUUCAAGCACUCUGGGGAAGUGUGAACCGAGCAGAAGAGGGUAGCACCGACCUCACACGCUCUGCCAUGUUCCAGUCACUUCUGUCCAGUAUGGUAGCCACAUGCUUCAUUGGAGCCCUUGAGACGUGGCAGAAACUGCCCUCAGUCACGGGCCCAAUGCAUAACGACGUUUUGACC
rnacentral:lncRNA from 1 species